UCUGGUUCUGCUCCUCAAAAAACGAGAAAAAUGCCGGGCCGUAGCGACCACCAUAAGACUCAGUGGCAAGACUGAUUCGAGAGUCCCUUGGGUGGUAGCCUGGGAAUUCCUGGAACCAUACCUGAGCAAAGUGCCACAGGGCAAUCGCGGCAUUACGACUACCCAGCGCAGUGUUUUCUUGCUCAUUACUGGGGUACGUCCCUACCAGGAACGUAGCAUUCUGCUGUGGAAUUGGAUCAUCAGGACCCAACUUGAAUAUUAGUAGAAAGCUUCUCAAAAGCAACGGAGAGUUUAAGUCGCACCCUCAUUGCUCCAUGAAUAUUGGUUCAAUGUCGUUGAGUUUGAAUCGGGAUUGAUGAAGCAAGGACCGUUUUCAACAAGCAGACCCAUCUGUUUCCCAAAAUCAUCGGACAAG
rnacentral:sRNA from 1 species